rnacentral:rRNA from 1 species
AGUGAACGCUGGCGGUAGGCCUAACACAUGCAAGUCGAACGGCAGCACAGUAAGAGCUUGCUCUUACGGGUGGCGAGUGGCGGACGGGUGAGGAAUACAUCGGAAUCUACUUUUUCGUGGGGGAUAACGUAGGGAAACUUACGCUAAUACCGCAUACGACCUACGGGUGAAAGCAGGGGAUCUUCGGACCUUGCGCGAUUGAAUGAGCCGAUGUCGGAUUAGCUAGUUGGCGGGGUAAAGGCCCACCAAGGCGACGAUGCGUAGCUGGUCUGAGAGGAUGAUCAGCCACACUGGAACUGAGACACGGUCCAGACUCCUACGGGAGGCAGCAGUGGGGAAUAUUGGACGAUGGGCGCAAGCCUGAUCCAGCCAUACCGCGUGGGUGAAGAAGGCCUUCGGGUUGUAAAGCCCUUUUGUUGGGAAAGAAAAGCAGCAGGUUAAUACCCCGCUGUUCUGACGGUACCCAAAGAAUAAGCACCGGCUAACUUCGUG